AUGCCGAAAUGGGAUUCAAGCAAAACCUACAGUGCAACAGGGGUCACUUUGUGUUUUUAUGGAGAAGGGGAGAGCGAGGAAUCGCUAUACUUCCAACACGUUUGCCAAAACAAAUGGAGAACAUCUCUUGCUCUCUCAGCUGCAAUAAUCUCAUUCCUGUUUGCAGGGGCUGCAGUGCCACAACCCUUCACAAUUGAGGAAAUGCUGAGAUCUGGAGAACAGCAUUUGGUAAACAAAACACUUACAUCUGGAAGACAACAAUAAUACAGUGAGAUGUAAGGCUGGUAUUCUUUAGAAAAAAGAAGGCAUAAUACGAGCUGUGCUGGGUUUAAAAUGAGUCAGGCUGUGACUUGAGUGUAAAAGACCUUCCCAAGCCGAAGUGAAAAGGCCCGAACCUGGCAUCGACUUGUCUCCUUGUAUCUACUUUCUUGUUCAUGCCACGCUGGACAGCUGUAAUUUAACGGCGAGUGCUGUGACAAUAAAACAACACUACAAAUCUCCAUUCCUGAAAGACCUUUCCUUUGUGACCAGAAAACCAGCAGCUGAGAAAUCCGCUCAUCUCCUCAAUAGAUCCUUUCUGUACGAGUGGCUACACUGCAAAAAAAUCAAUUUAUUAAUCAAGGUUUUGUCAUGUUAUCCAAAAUAAAUAUCUAAACAUCCUUAAAAGCAAGAUACAUAUAUCUGAGAAGCAAUUUUAGGCUUACAUGUGAUCCAUUUUUAAUAAAUACAUUUUAAAUGAAGUUUUUUCCUCCUUGAUUUAAGCAUAAAUCUCACUACAUUUAGUUAGAAAUGUUUUGGGUUAAAUAAAAGUUGUGCUCAAUUGAAAACAUUCAUUGCAUAAUGUCUGUUACCACAGAAAAUAAUUUAAUUUAAUUUAAUAAUUUAAAAACAAAACAAGCAUAUUUUGAAAUAAAGGAGAAAUCAAUUUUUGCCAGUUUAAUUAGGAAAAAUAAGCUGCUCUGUUACAUAAUAUUAAAAAAAAAUAAUAAUACACUGUAGCUUUGAAGAGUUUGGGGUUGGUAAGAUGUUUUCUGAAUUUAUUUAAAAAACAGAAACUGUAAAAUAUUAUUACAAUGUACGUAAUUGUUUAUUUAAAAAUGUAUUUAUUCCUGACAACACUGAAUUUUCAGCAGCUAUUUACUCCAGUCUUCAUUGUCACAUGAUCCUUCAGAAAUCAUUCUAAUAUGCAUAUUUAAUGUUCAAGACACAUUUCUUAAUAUCAGUUCUGAAAACAAUUGUGCUGUUUAAUAAUUAGUUGAUUAUUUGAUGAACAGAAAUUUCAAAAGAAAAAAUACCUUCCUGGCCCAAACUUUUGAAUAAAAUAUGUUUAUAUAUUUGUAAUUAAAACAAGACAAAAAUACUGAUCAAGAAAAUGAUUUUUGCAAUGUGUGUCUGUUUAUAUAUGCAUUUAUUAUUUGAGAGAGAGAAAGAAUAUAGGGAAGGAGCAUAAUGCUCAUGGGCACUUUGGCAUAUAAAUAAAUGAUAGCCUCAACAGAAGACGUGUCGUCCUUACAGUGUAAAUAUAAGCUUGCUGUGUGUCCCGACAGUUCAGGGGAAUCUGCUCUUUUCUGCUUCACAGAACAAGGGCCACGCAUUGCCAAGCAUGACUUACCAUCGGUAUAUGUGUAUAUUUGUAUUUAUGUGCAUGAGUGAGUCACAGAAAAUAGUAAACCAUUUUCAAAAUGGAAAAAUAAAAAAACCUACACACAGAGAGGUUGCUGGCACAGGGAUACCCAAGGUGAGAUCCUCCUUCUGCGUGGUGUAAGUCCUGUUUGUGGUUCUUGUGCUGUACUGAUGAAGCCACACACUUUGCAUUACUACACAGGUUAGCACAGUGUCCCGAUCAGUGCAGGCCUUUGGCACCAUGUAAACAUUAGUUUGUUUAGUUAGCACUCAGAUAUCCCACAGCUCUUUGGGAUUGCCAGAUGGCCGCAGGCUGAGAAGGUUGUCUUGAAAUUCUUCUCGCUGCCGCCUCGUCUGUCCAUGGAUUCGCCAGCCCCACAUUCUCAAGACCCUGCCCACAAUAAGAUGAGCAAUACGACGCCUGAACAAUUUAAGAAGGGUGUUACAUCAUCUAGACAGAUCAAUAGAAAGCUGAAACAUCAAAUGCAAAGAUCAAAUCAGUUUUCGAAUGUAGUUCCCUUUAACACACUGGAUAGCAGGUAGUUUUAGCUGAGUUUUAAGUACUGCAUCUGCAUCGUAUACUAAAAUAAAACAUCUUUUAA
rnacentral:lncRNA from 1 species